rnacentral:misc_RNA from 1 species
GAUGAAGAACGUAGCGAAAUGCGAUAAGUAAUGUGAAUUGCAGAAUUCAGUGAGUCAUCGAAUCUUUGAACGCACAUUGCGCCCGCCAGUAUUCUGGCGGGCAUGCCUGUCUGAGCGUCAUUUCAACCCUCAUGCCCCUAGGGCGUGGUGUUGGGGAUCGGCCAAAGCCCGCGAGGGACGGCCGGCCCCUAAAUCUAGUGGCGGACCCGUCGUGGCCUCCUCUGCGAAGUAGUGAUAUUCCGCAUCGGAGAGCGACGAGCCCCUGCCGUUAAACCCCCAACUUUCCAAGGUUGACCUCAGAUCAGGUAGGAAUACCCGCUGAACUUAAGCAUAUCAAUAAGCGGAGGA